AUAGUUACCUGUCAAGGGGAGAUACCAUGAUCACGAAGGUGGCUUUCCCAGGGCGAGGCUUAUCCAUCGCACUCUGGAUAUGCUGACUCUGCGAUUUCCCCAAAUGUGGGAAACUCCACUGCAUAAUUUGUGGUAGUGGGGGACUGCACUCGCACUCUCCCCUG
rnacentral:snRNA from 1 species